UACGGAGGGGGCUAGCGUUGUCCGGAAUCAUUGGGCGUAAAGCGCGUGUAGGCGGUUCGGUAAGUCCGCUGUGAAAGUCGGGGGCUCAACCCUCGGAUGCCGGUGGAUACUGUCGGGCUAGAGUACGGAAGAGGCGAGUGGAAUUCCUGGUGUAGCGGUGAAAUGCGCAGAUAUCAGGAGGAACACCAAUUGCGAAGGCAGCUCGCUGGGACGUUACUGACGCUGAGACGCGAAAGCGUGGGGAGCAAACAGGAUUAGAAACCCCCGUAGUCC
rnacentral:rRNA from 1 species